rnacentral:rRNA from 1 species
CCUACGGGUGGCUGCAGUGGGGAAUAUUGCACAAUGGGGGAAACCCUGAUGCAGCGACGCCGCGUGAGUGAAGAAGUAUCUCGGUACGUAAAGCUCUAUCAGCAGGGAAGAAAAUGACGGUACCUGACUAAGAAGCCCCGGCUAACUACGUGCCAGCAGCCGCGGUAAUACGUAGGGGGCAAGCGUUAUCCGGAUUUACUGGGUGUAAAGGGAGCGUAGACGGCAGGACAAGUCUGGAGUGAAAUCCCGGGGCUUAAUCCCGGAACUGCGGUUGAAACUGGGCGGCUGGAGUUCAGGAGGGGUAAGCGGAAUUCCUAGUGUAGCGGUGAAAUGCGUAGAUAUUAGGAGGAACACCGGUGGCGAAGGCGGCUGACUGGACUGUAACUGACGUUGAGGCUCGAAAGCGUGGGGAGCAAACAGGAUUAGAUACCCCAGUAGUC